rnacentral:rRNA from 1 species
AGAGUUUGAUCAUGGCUCAGAGCGAACGCUGGCGGCAGGCUUAACACAUGCAAGUCGAGCGGGCGUAGCAAUACGUCAGCGGCAGACGGGUGAGUAACGCGUGGGAACGUACCUUUUGGUUCGGAACAACACAGGGAAACUUGUGCUAAUACCGGAUAAGCCCUUACGGGGAAAGAUUUAUCGCCGAAAGAUCGGCCCGCGUCUGAUUAGCUAGUUGGUGAGGUAAUGGCUCACCAAGGCGACGAUCAGUAGCUGGUCUGAGAGGAUGAUCAGCCACAUUGGGACUGAGACACGGCCCAAACUCCUACGGGAGGCAGCAGUGGGGAAUAUUGGACAAUGGGCGCAAGCCUGAUCCAGCCAUGCCGCGUGAGUGAUGAAGGCCCUAGGGUUGUAAAGCUCUUUUGUGCGGGAAGAUAAUGACGGUACCGCAAGAAUAAGCCCCGGCUAACUUCGUGCCAGCAGCCGCGGUAAUACGAAGGGGGCUAGCGUUGCUCGGAAUCACUGGGCGUAAAGGGUGCGUAGGCGGGUCUUUAAGUCAGGGGUGAAAUCCUGGAGCUCAACUCCAGAACUGCCUUCGAUACUGGCGAUCUAGAGUCCGGGAGAGGUGAGUGGAACUGCGAGUGUAGAGGUGAAAUUCGUAGAUAUUCGCAAGAACACCAGUGGCGAAGGCGGCUCACUGGCCCGGUACUGACGCUGAGGUGCGAAAGCGUGGGGAGCAAACAGGAUUAGAUACCCUAGUAGUCC